rfam:Medicago truncatula strain A17 chromosome 6, whole genome shotgun sequence.
UUGUAAGAAAAUUUUGUCUUUUUAGAUUCAUUCAAUUAAUGAUGUAUGUGGUUCAUAUUAUGGGUCACAUACAUCAUUAAUUGAAUGAAUCUAAAAAGUCAAAAUUUGUUUAUAA